GGGUACAUCCUCCAGUUCCCAGUAGAGAAUAAAUAGACCCUGAUCUUAGAAGCUAAGCAGAGACAGUCCUGGUUAGUACUUGGAUGGGAGACCACCUGGGAAUACCAGGAGCUGUAGCUU
ensembl:rRNA 5S_rRNA 5S ribosomal RNA